UACGAAGGGUGCAAGCGUUGUUCGGAUUUAUUGGGCGUAAAGGGCGAGUAGGCGGAUAUAGAAGUCAGGUGUGAAAUCUCGGGGCUCAACCCCGAAACUGCGCCUGAAACUCUAUGUCUAGAAUGUCGGAGAGGGAAGGGGAAUUUCGCAUGUAGGAGUAAAAUCCGUAGAGAUGCGAAGGAACACCAGAGGCGAAGGCGCCUUCCUGGAAGACGAUUGACGCUGAGGCGCGAAAGCGUGGGUAGCAAACAGG
rnacentral:rRNA from 1 species